GGGCGGCCACCAGCUGAGGUCUUUCCUGUUUGUUCAAGUGCAUCUUUUAGCCGAUGACGAUGGUGAAAGAAAUGUGAAGUCGCUCUUCAUCGUCUUGGUGCGGUGUCCCUGACAGACCAGGCUGAGCAAAACAUCAGGAAGCUAACAUUUACUUUGCGAUAGAAGAAGCUGACCAGGAGAGAACCUGAGGAAUGUGGUGUGAGAUCAUUGUGAGAAAGAAAAUCACAUCACUGUCACCCCUGAAAGUAGAAGGAGCCAGACCCAAGCUAGGAAGCGAUGGUGGUGUUGAAAGCUUUACCACCAUGUGCAGGUUGUGGCUGCAGUAGGUGAAUUUGCUGAUGAUCCACUUGCCUCAGUAUGUGGUACUGAGGAAGUUCAGCCGCUGCCCCCUAGUACGCAUGUGCAGUGGACCCCAGAAUGUGGAAGCAACCCCGGAAGAAAAACAA